AUAUAGACGCAGUUGUGGGUGGCCUGCGUAUCUUCAUUGUGACCAUCUGCAUGGUAAAAAUAAUAAUGUCAGCACCUGGAAAAAUUUAACUUUCACAGCAAGGAAGAAAUCUGAAAGAGUACCAAUUUUAUCAUGUUUGCCCACAUGAGGAGUCCGGCAAUAGCCCACUGAAAAAUUUGGUUGAUGUCAACAUCCGUGCACACGAGGGCCUGGGAUCUUCAGUCAACUUGGCGUCCACCAGGACGUUGCCAUGUCCCUAGGACAGCUCUCCAUCGGGCUGCUAACGGAGCCACUGGCUUCUUGGACCUCUUGGGGAGGGUCGAUGGUGCUCGUGCAAGCAGCAGAUCCCAGGGCAACUUGCUGCUGUUUGCAAUGGCUGUCUGCCGAGGAGAGGCAGGCAUCUAGCAACAUCUGUUGUUGGGGCAAUGGAUGAAUUCCCUGCUAUGUUUGUUAACUGCUCAUUACUCUGUAAUUUGUCUAUGAUUGUAAUCAUGUGAUAACGUGUUUAUCAUUCAUUACCUUUGAAACGUCAUGAUUUUGACCAGCUCUACCUGGAGCUCAUUACCUUUGUAAAUUCUCAUGAUUCAUGUGUUUAUGAUUCAUUACCUUUGCAAUUAUUCAUGAGUGUGACCAGCUCUACCUGGAGCUCAUUACCUUUGUAAAUUCUCAUGAUUCAUGUGUUUAUGAUUCAUUACCUUUGCAAUUAUUCAUGAGUGUGACCAGCUCUACCUGGAGCUCAUUACCUUUGUAACUUGGUCAUGAUUAUGACCAGAUCUAGUUCAUUACCUUUGUAACUUGCUCAGCUAUCAAAACUUUGGAGUCCAGUCCCUGGACCAAUUAUGUACCUCUGUAAUCUUUUGACUACCGC